rnacentral:rRNA from 1 species
CCAGACAGCCAGGAUGUUGGCUUAGAAGCAGCCAUCAUUUAAAGAAAGCGUAAUAGCUCACUGGUCGAGUCGGCCUGCGCGGAAGAUGUAACGGGGCUAAACCAUGCACCGAAGCUGCGGCAGCGACACUGUGUGUUGUUGGGUAGGGGAGCGUUCUGUAAGCCUGUGAAGGUGGCCUGUGAGGGUUGCUGGAGGUAUCAGAAGUGCGAAUGCUGACAUAAGUAACGAUAAAGCGGGUGAAAAGCCCGCUCGCCGGAAGACCAAGGGUUCCUGUCCAACGUUAAUCGGGGCAGG